rnacentral:tRNA from 1 species
GCCUUUGUUGUGUAGUGGUCAGCAUGCUGGACGCGUAACCGAGAAGUCCAUGGUUCGAUUCCCGGCGAAGGCG